UUGGUUUUUUUGCUGUUGGGUUGUAUAAGUUGUUUAUAUAUUCUAGAGAUUAAGCCCUUGUCAGUUGCAUCAUUUGAAACUGUUUUCUCCCAUUCUGUAAGUUGUCUUUUUGUUUUCUUUUGGGUUUCCUUUGCUAACACUGGAUCUUUAACCCACUGAGCAAAGCCAGGGAUCAAGCCUGCAUCCUCAUGGACACUAUGUCAGGUUCUCAACCCACUGAGCCACAAUGAAACUCCAGAUAUGCCUUUUUAAGAUGCAUCCACCAUCCCCAUAAAAAUCAGUCCUUUGGCAUAUUAGCCUUUGAGAACCACUGCUUUGUGGGAUGAGGUGGGGGGGAAGAAAGGGCAUAGCCUCAAAGAAGAUUCAGGACCUGCCUCUGAUUUGGAGAGGAUUCAUGGACACUUGAGAUUGAAAAUUACAGCUCAGCUUGUGCAUUCAGCUUGAUUGCGCUGAUGGCCACUGAGAUGAUGAGAAACCUGAGCAGUGCACCUGUCCCCAUUCUUUAUUCCUGACUUUCUCUGAGCCGUAUAUGAACCUGGACACCACCCCAUGUGCUUCUCCAUAGAAGCAUUCACUUCUGUUUCUCACAGGCUCUUAUAAAUCAGUUCAAUAUUUAGUAAGUAUCAAGACCUGUCCUGUGUGAGCUGCUUUAAAGAUACAGAGAAUCUUGGGCAGUUCCUGAUGUCAGGAACAUGCUUAACGCCACGUUACCUAACUAUGGACUGAAACAAAGUCGCCAAAACAUUGCCAGGUUGACCAGGAAGAGGUGAAAGUCCAUGUGGACUGAGAAAUUCAGGGAAUAGGGAACCGUAGACAGAGAGGGAAACCUAGGGAACUUUGGGAGAUGAUCAUAAGUUAAUAAUUGAUCAAGGGAACCAUGAGAACAAAGCAAGCUUGCUUAACUAUAAAACCAUAAAUAAAAGCACAAGCUAUGUCUCAGGCCAUUAAAUGAAAGCUCAAAGGAGGCCCACAUUCAAGUUCAGCAAGAUAAUGAUCCUUAGGCCCAAGGACAGGAAUUUCAGGGAAAGAUGAUAUUCCAAAGAAGAAGACCUUCAUUAUAUGGAAAUCUGAGAUGAUUCGACAUAUUUUAGCAUGUUACUGUCCUUCUGCUGAUUUGAAUAAGCACCGUGACAGUCCUAGUUUGACCUCGUAGGAUCAAAUACUCUCUUACUGGAUACGAAGGAGGAACGAAUCAUGUGAGCCUGAGUAAGAAAGAGGAAGAAGGCAGACUUUUCCCGCUUCCCCACUUUCCUUGGAUUCUAAAAAUGUAGCCCACCCAAUCCUGGGGGAGAGCUUCUCCGCCUGCAGGCUUGUAUCUCUCACAAGCGUCCUGUCUUAAUAAAUCUAUUUCUUGCCUAUUGUGUUGUCUCUCGCUGGAUUCCUUCUGCGCUGAGACAUAGAGAACCUGAACUUUAGUAAGUCUACACACCAGUUGAGUGAUUCUAAUUAAAAAACAUAACAAAAACAGGGAUUCACGACUCAGUCUGGCUUUAGGCUGGGUUUGAGACCUGGCACAUGAGUUCAAGUCCAGUUCUGGGUUCUGGCUGGGUUUAAGUCAGAGGUGCUGUUGGUUUCACCUGCGGUUGGUGUGAUACCCCAGAGGACCCAGGGGUGACCAAGAAGGAAAGAGAUUCGAGUAAAGGAAGAAGAGUCAGGCAGAUUCUCCUUAGAGGAGAAAAAGAAGAGCAAGCAGUUUCCUCCAGCUCUAGACUUGCUUCUCACCCUGACUUCCCUUGCAGAUGGAGGUGCUCCUAAAUACUCAAUGUUUGAUGGAAGACACGGUCUCUGUCCUUGAGAUCAUGACCUUCCUUCUCCCUUUCUCACCUACCUAUGCUUUCAGCAGAGAGCUUUUUUCUUCUCGUGUCCGUUGUCCUGGUUCUAGCUCCCAGGCAACUUCUUCCAUGCAAACCUCUUCAACUGAUUGGAUGUGACCCACCCCUCCCUGGGAUGGGGGUGGGGGAAUCUGGUUUACUCAGUGUCUACCAAUUCAAAUGUUCAUCUCAUUUUAAAAUACCUUCACAGCCACAUCCAGAUUGGUGUUUGACCAAAAAUUUGGGUAUCUUGGCCAAGCCAGGUUGACCAUAAAAUUAACCAUCACGUCCCUUAAACCCCUCCGAGCCUGAAGCAGAAAAAAAUCAGAAACCAUCCAAAGCCUUGAUAUCACCGCCAGGCAGGGCUCAGGGGGAGGGUACAAAAUGGCCCACUCUCACCCCAGUGGUCUGGGUCUCAGCUUGAGGGAGGGGUGAGAGCUCCUCUAAGUGUCCGAAGUGCCCCCCUCAGCCGCCCUCUCUCUGCUCUAGGGAUGGAAGGGUGGGUGGUAGCUGUUUUCUGUGGUCACUACCUCUGCACCCCUAGAAUCCUCAUUUCUCCUUUGAGUAGUUAACACCUUUCGUCGGAUACCAUUCUCUCCCUUUUUUAAUCGCUACACCUGUGGCUGAUGGAUAUGAACGUUCCCGCGCCAGGGAUUGAAUCUGUUGCUGAAACUCUGCCUCUAUCCACCAGUACUGAAUAGAAACUCAGAGACAGAGUUUGGGAUGCAGGAGAAAAAGAGCGCUUUUAUUGCUUUGCCCAGCAAAAGAAGCCACAGCAGGCUAAUGCCUUAGAAACUGUGUGCUCUUCCACUGGGAAGAAUUUCAGGGAGUUUUAUAGUAAAAAGGAGAAAGACAGGUUUCCGGAUAAGAAUCAGGGGUGAGGGCAAAGCCUUCUUUCAUUGGUGGACUCUUUGGUCGUCAAGGUUGGGGAUGGAAAAUAGAGCCACAGAUAAGGAUGAGGAUAGGGGCAGCCUUGCAUUCUUCUUCAAAGCUGGGGUUUAGUGGCCCCAGGACUGGUUCUGGUGGUCCUCCUCCUUUUGGGAAUGAAGAAUGCUUCAUCAAGAACUUAACAUCUUUCCUUUGUUGAGGGUUUUAGUCCUGCAGAAGAGCUCAAAGAUAUUGUUAAGUGUUAUCCCUUGAGGGGGAACCAGGAUCCCGCCCCAAGGCUGCACUAUUGUUUCUUGACUGUUCCUCCCUAGACUUUGCAUCUCCUUCUUUCUGUGAUUAUCAAAUGUCUGAACCGGCCCCUUGAAACUCAGGGAAGGCUGUGGAGGCUGAUUGAAGUCCGUUUCCUAAAAAUAAGAAAUGCGGGGCACAGAAAGGGUUUUGUGCCCAGGAACCCCAUAGGGCCCUGCUCAGUUACCAAUCCGAGCCACAGCUGCAACCUAGGCAAUGCCUAAUCCUUUAACCCACUGUCUCAGGCCAGGGGUUGAACCUGCACCUCUGCAACAACUGAGCCACUGCUGUCAGAUUUUUAACCCACUGUGCCACAGCGGAAACUCCACCAGAUAACCAUACUUUCCGUUAAAUGCUUCUUGUUCAAAUUGCCGGUGUGGUUUGCAUCUCCAAAUGGACUGAUGAAAUCAGAGGGCGCGCCCUGGGGAGGGUGCCUUUGAUUCUUCCCUUCCCUAAUUCAGCUGGGAGACUGAGAAAGGGAGGGAAGAGAGAACAUUCGAUCCAUUUCUGAAAGUGGAAGCUGCUGUCUGCAGUUCCUAUUCCAGCCUUUCUCCUUCCACGGGGCAUCGUCUCCUCUCGUUGUACAUCCAAGUCAUUUGAAAGCUUUUAAAAAUAUAUGAUCCCCAUUCCUGUCUCCAGAGAUUCUGGCUCAGUUGGUCUAGGAUGAUGUUCAAUCGUGAGAAUUAUUUAGUAACUUCCACAGUUGUUACAAUAGAGGUUUACAGAGUUUGUGGCUCAGCAGGCUACAAACCCAACUAGUAUCCAUGAGGAUGCGGGUUCCAUCCCUGGCCUCUAUCAGUGGGUUAAGGAUCCAGCAGUGCCGUGAGCUGUGGUGUGGAUCAAAGACGUAGCUUAGAUCCCAAGUUGUGGUGUAGGCCGGCAGCUGUAGCUCCAAUUCAGCCCCUAGCCUGGGAACUUCCAUAUGCUGCAGGUGCGGCCCUAAAAAACCAAAAGAAAAGAAAAGAGAAAAGAAAAGAAAAACAGAAACGAUAUAUGGUAAGUUAUACACCAUAAAUUUAGUACUUCAUGCAAACCUCUCUCUCUCCUUUAUUUAUUUUUUAUCUUAUUUAUUU
ensembl:lncRNA